rnacentral:rRNA from 1 species
AUUGAACGCUGGCGGCAUGCCUUACACAUGCAAGUCGAACGGCAGCACGGGUGCUUGCACCUGGUGGCGAGUGGCGAACGGGUGAGUAAUGCAUCGGAACGUGCCCGAUUGUGGGGGAUAACGCACCGAAAGGUGUGCUAAUACCGCAUAAUCUCUGAGGAGGAAAGCAGGGGAUCUUAGGACCUUGCGCAGUUGGAGCGGCCGAUGUCGGAUUAGCUAGUUGGUGAGGUAACGGCUUACCAAGGCGACGAUCCGUAGCUGGUCUGAGAGGAUGAUCAGCCACACUGGGACUGAGACACGGCCCAGACUCCUACGGGAGGCAGCAGUGGGGAAUUUUGGACAAUGGGGGGAACCCUGAUCCAGCCAUGCCGCGUGAGUGAAGAAGGCCUUCGGGUUGUAAAGCUCUUUCAGCCGGGAAGAAAUUGCACAGGCUAAUACUCUGUGUAGAUGACGGUACCGGACCAAGAAGCACCGGCUAACUACGUGCCAGCCGCCGCCGUAACAC